rnacentral:rRNA from 1 species
AAAUGAACAAGGUUUCCGUAGGUGAACCUGCGGAAGGAUCAUUACAGAGUUCAUGCCCGAAAGGGUAGACCUCCCACCCUUGUGUAUUAUUACUUUGUUGCUUUGGCGAGCUGCCUUCGGGCCUUGUAUGCUCGCCAGAGAAUACCAAAACUCUUUUUAUUAAUGUCGUCUGAGUACUAUAUAAUAGUUAAAACUUUCAACAACGGAUCUCUUGGUUCUGGCAUCGAUGAAGAACGCAGCGAAAUGCGAUAAGUAAUGUGAAUUGCAGAAUUCANGUGAAUCAUCGAAUCUUUGAACGCACAUUGCGCCCCUUGGUAUUCCGGGGGGCAUGCCUGUUCGAGCGUCAUUUCAACCCUCAAGCUUAGCUUGGUAUUGAGUCUAUGUCAGUAAUGGCAGGCUCUAAAAUCAGUGGCGGCGCCGCUGGGUCCUGAACGUAGUAAUAUCUCUCGUUACAGGUUCUCGGUGUGCUUCUGCCAAAACCCAAAUUUUUCUAUGGUUGACUCGGUCAGGUAGGGAUACCCGC